UACAGAGGUCUCAAGCGUUGUUCGGAUUCAUUGGGCGUAAAGGGUGCGUAGGCGGCGCGGUAAGUCGGGGUGUGAAAAUCUCGGAGCUUAACUCCGAAACUGCAUUCGAUACUGCCGUGCUUGAGGACUGGAGAGGAGACUGGAAAUUUACGGUGUAGCGGUGAAAUGCGUAGAUAUCGUAAGGAAGACCAGUGGCGAAGGCGGGGUCUCUGGACAGUUCCUGACGCUGAGG
rnacentral:rRNA from 1 species